UAUCCAAUGCCAAGGGAGAAAAAACAAAGGGGGUAUUGGUUCCCUGAAGGGUGUGUAUGGUGAACCACUGGGUCCAAGCCCAAUGAACUCAAUCUCAGAGAAGGGACGAAGCCUUAAUGGCUCACAUUCAACCAAUAUUAACAAACGCGUCAGAAAAAUCUUCAGCUGGUGAUAUGAAUUUAUAGACUUCUCUCCUUUUAAUUCUGUUAGAAAUCCAAUCCAAAUGCAGAUGAAAUUUAACUCAAAUUACUUUGAAAUUAGUCAUUCUGUUAGAGGUUAUUAGUUGAGUUAGUUGGGAAAUUAGUUAGUUAGUUACUCUGUUAAAACGCUUUGAGUUUUGUUACCAAUCUGUUUCAGCAUUCUGUUAUAACUAGGAGAGGUCAUCUGUUUAAAUUAUAUUUUUCGGUUAGUUGAAAAUUGCAUUCUAUGAGGUCACUGUCAAAUUGAUGGAGCUAACUGAUGUAUUGUUAAUUGUUGAAUUGGUUAAUUGGCUGUUAGUGAAUGUUUAUUUAAUUGUUGUGUUAGAAAUUACCGUUAAUUGUAAUCCUGAAUUUUUGUCAUCGUACUGUUAUUUGGUAAAUGAUGAAUGGGUCAAAAGCUUAAUGAACUGUUAAAGCUGUUAGUUCAGUUAGAUUAGUAUUAGUUGGAUAAUGGAUUUGUUUGAUUUGAAACUGCAUUUGAAGUUGAUUUGAGAGUGAAUUUGAGGUUAGUCUCUGAUUUGGCUUGAAUUUGGAGUUAAAUGUUUUUCUGAAUUAACUGAACAUGAUUCGAAUUUUCUUACACUGCAGAAUAGUUCAAUGUAUUUAAACCAGGUUUUGCCCUGAAUUUGCAAUGCUAGGUCAAUGCUGAUGGGUUGAUUUUGGUAUGUGAUGAACCCUUUCCAUGUUUAUGUUGUCAAUGUUGAUUUUCUGCUUAAUGUGAUGCACGACAGGAUUAUGCUUGCUAUGUGCUGGAUUAUUGUUAAUUGGUGUGAAUUGUAGUUAGUGAACCCCUUUGAAAUCUAGUUAUGUUGUGAAUCACUUAGUUAACCUGAUCUAAUAUUGUUCCUUUUCUGUUAUGAGCUAUUUGCACGAUAAAUGUUUAGCAGGGAAACCGAAAUGGAGAUGUAGAAGAAGUAGCUUGCUAAUUUCGUCUUAAUGCUGUUUUGUGUCAUCUGGUGUAGCAUUAGUGAAAUCACUAUGGCUAUGUGGAUUCCACUUGUGCUUAUGGAAUGAGAGCCAUUGGAUUGCAUUGGAUUUGAAGAAAACGGUCAUGCUUUUUGCCUGCUACUGAUUGAAAGUUGAGUUGGAUAUUAAUUCUACUGAUGCAAAUAGAAUAUGCCUAGCCCUGUUAGCAAGUUGCUUGGUUAGAUCAGUUAGGUUAAUUGUUAGUGAAGGAAAUGUUAGCAGAUGAAUUGUUGUUAGUAAAUGCAUUUUAUUGUAAAUGUGUAUUAUGGAAUUGUAAAUGAAAAAUUGGAUUUUGA